AGAAAAUGGCACAGCCUGGAGGGUUGGGGCUGCCACACCUCUGACUUUUCAGCUGCAGCCACGCUGGGGUCAAGCUGGUGGCCUGGGCCAGUUAUUGCUGUGCUGGUGAUGUCUGGAGGUAGCACAGCCCAAAACAGGGCAUGGAUUCUCCCCUGUCACUCAUCCCCAGUGGCAGAGUGGAUAUUUCCUGUGCAAGGAUGGAGUUGCUGUCCUGUCCUCAGAUCCUCAGGUGGCCUUCCCUCAUUUUGACACGUGAGCAUAACUACUUUUACUUUAUUUGGCACAUUUAUACAAAUAAGUGAAGCAAAUUCCUCUGUGCUGCUGGCAAAUAGAGACAAGGAAACCUCUUGUGACAGAAAUAGGUGAUGAAGUGGCAGAUGCCAGGUCACUGUUUGUGUCAUAAACAAU
rnacentral:lncRNA from 12 species